rnacentral:rRNA from 1 species
GACAGAGGAUGCAAGCGUUAUCCGGAAUUAUUGGGCGUAAAGAGCUCGUAGGCGGCUUGUCACGUCGGGUGUGAAAGCCCGGGGCUUAACCCCGGGUCUGCAUUCGAUACGGGCAGGCUAGAGUGUGGUAGGGGAGAUCGGAAUUCCUGGUGUAGCGGUGAAAUGCGCAGAUAUCAGGAGGAACACCGGUGGCGAAGGCGGAUCUCUGGGCCAUUACUGACGCUGAGGAGCGAAAGCGUGGGGAGCGAACAGG